GGGCGCAUGGUGUAGUUGGUUAUCACGCCCGCUUAGCAUCUUGCUUAUCUGCGGGCGGUCCCCGGUUCAAUUCCGGGUGUGUCCA